UGGGGAAUAUUGCACAAUGGGCGAAAGCCUGAUGCAGCGACGCCGCGUGAGGGAUGACGGCCUUCGGGUUGUAAACCUCUUUCAGCAGGGAAGAAGCGAAAGUGACGGUACCUGCAGAAGAAGCGCCGGCUAACUACGUGCCAGCAGCCGCGGUAAUACGUAGGGCGCAAGCGUUGUCCGGAAUUAUUGGGCGUAAAGGAGCUCGUAGGCGGUUAGUCGCGUCUGCUGUGAAAAUCUCGAGGCUCAACCUCGGGCUUGCAGUGGGUACGGGCUGACUAGAGUGCGGUAGGGGUGACUGGAAUUCCUGGUGUAGCGGUGGAAUGCGCAGAUAUCAGGAGGAACACCGAUGGGCGAAGGCAGGUCACUGGGCCGCAACUGACGCUGAGGAGCGAAAGCAUGGGGAGCGAACAGGAUUAGAUACCCUGGUAGUCCAUGCCGUAAACGUUGGGCACUAGGUG
rnacentral:rRNA from 1 species